AACGUGAUGCUAUUUGAAUGGCGUUGCCAUGACGUUAAAGUCUGGAUUUUAUUAAAGUCUAGACUUUAAGGUUUAUAAGCACGGGAUCUGGUACACAGUUAGCUGCAUAACGUUCAUUACGUCGCUUGUAUACCCUCACUCUUCCGUCGGCUUGACGAAGCAUGAAUCGGUAGUCAUCGCUAAAGGCAACUCUUCUCCAUUGUUGAACACGUCAUAACCUGCAUCGUCAGCACCAAAGAAGCCGUUGUUGACACGAUGUUCCUGUGUUAGUAUUCUUCUUCUAGCAGACCUUCUUGGUCGAAUACCAGCUCCACGUAGACGGGUUUUUUAUAGUUUGAUCGGAAAUCCUACGCUGUCCAGAUUUAAUGGCUGCUGUGAACGGCGCUUGUAACAGACCCGUCGCAGAAGCGUGCGCCACAAAACUUAUGGCUGAUUUUCAAGCUGCUGGAAACAACACAGCUAAAGGUGCACAGCCAUGCAGAUGUUCUUCGCACGUAUGAAGCCGACAGGUUGUGAAAAUAUACCGAAAUGUAGGCUACUGAACGCAAAGUUUAAAGCAACGCUUCAAAAAUACGGUUGUAGUAAGAGUGAAACGGAGUGUGUUGCUUUAAUUACUUUUAUACAUAUUGUUGUAGCGUGUAUGAUGUAAUAUGAUAUUUUUGGUUCGGUUUCAAGUGUUUAGCCUAAGGAAUAUGUAUUAAGUCACACAUUAUCACAUCAUCAUCUUGAAUCAUAGCUCUUAACAUCAGCACUUGCCUUUCUUUUCUGCGUUUUUCUCAUUGUUUUAAUAGCCCAUGUUUUCCAAGCUAUUUUAGAGUUACAAAAUUGUAAAACCAUCGUAGUCUAUGACGUCACUAUAGCAUUAUCGUUAAUUCUUGGAAGAAUUCUAAAGUUAGUAUUCGUUAUUAUCCGAUAUUUUAUUUGUGUUUCAUUUAAUUCAUGUUAGCUUAUGUUCGUGCUUAUAUCCAAUUAAGGUUCAAGCACGCUGUCCUGGGCACACCCC